GACGAACGCUGGCGGCGUGCUUAACACAUGCAAGUCGAACGGAAAGGCCCUGCUUUUGUGGGGUGCUCGAGUGGCGAACGGGCGAGUAACACGUGAGUAACCUGCCCUUGACUUUGGGAUAACUUCAGGAAACUGGGGCUAAUACCGGAUAGGAGCUCCUGCUGCAUGGUGGGGGUUGGAAAGUUUCGGCGGUUGGGGAUGGACUCGCGGCUUAUCAGCUUGUUGGUGGGGUAGUGGCUUACCAAGGCUUUGACGGGUAGCCGGCCUGAGAGGGUGACCGGCCUCAUUGGGACUGAGAUACGGCCCAGACUCCUACGGGAGGCAGCAGUGGGGAAUAUUGCACAAUGGGCGGAAGCCUGAUGCAGCAACGCCGCGUGCGGGAUGACGGCCUUCGGGUUGUAAACCGCUUUCGCCUGUGACGAAGCGUGAGUGACGGUAAUGGGUAAAGAAGCACCGGCUAACUACGUG
rnacentral:rRNA from 1 species